rnacentral:lncRNA from 1 species
UGAAUUCCGGCAGUUGGUCGGGACUGGACUAGCCCUUGUUUGGGUGAGCCAGUAUAAAUCUCUUGUGUUGUUCUCUGUUAAUUAUAGUUUUAUCUUUUAUCUAAAAACAACACUUAAUUAAAAAGAUCCUUCUUCCAGUUAUCUGGUCAAAUACAGAGGUUGACUACUUUACGCAGAUCCCUCAUCCAGUUAUCUGGUCAACCAUCUGAGGUUAUAUUCAUUGCUUUAUUCAUAUUUGUUCAAGCAUUUACUUAUCAUAUAUAUAUCCAGUUAUCUGGUCAUCUACUUGUUCAUCAAUAUAUCCAGUUAUCUGGUCAUUUAAUUGCUUAUCAUAUAUCCAGUUAUCUGGUCAUUUACUCUAUAAUAUAACUUGUGUUUAUAAUAUAACUUAGUAUUCAUAUACUAUAGUUGUUUAUAAAACACCAUCUGAAAAGUUGACUACGUAUUUAUAUAUUGUAGUAAACUUAAAGAAUAAAAGGCAAGUCUAAUAUAUAAUAUUAUAAGAUAUAAUAUUAUAUUCUUUAAAAUUAUAUAAUAGUAUUAUAUUGCUAACAAUAUUAUACUAUUAUUAUUAUACAACCAUUUGUGUACUUAAGUGUGUGCAGGUAAUUCCGCUAUUAACUUGCAUUAAUCGAAAAGAGGCUAUUAUCCCCCCUUAUAGCCUCGGAUCUCGAUCCAACAGU